AUGAUGUCUCGUCUCUCGACGGUGAAGUCGGCAAAAGACCGAAUGACAUGGUUCCUGUCCCUCAUGUCCCUAAAACAAACGGAGACAUUCCUUCUUUUGAUGAAGCCUUUUCAGAUCACCGGUGACUUCUCGACAAGUUGGUGCUUGCAAGCGUCCAUUGCCGCAAACACAUGGGUGGUCAGUGGGACUCCCCAGACCAAGAUUCGUUGUCAGAAUCCAUGGCGCUGGCCGCGCCACACCUUUUCCUGCUUCUUCUCGUCUGAGGCGAGCACCAGCGGUACGUAUCAGCCCUCUUCUCUAUGGUGCUGGCUAGACGCAGCAUCUUCACUUCUUUCCUUGCACAUUCCUGUUAAGGAAGCAAAGAAAUCUUGGAUUCAUUAA
rnacentral:rRNA from 1 species